rnacentral:rRNA from 1 species
AUUUAACGCUGGCGGCAGGCUUAACACAUGCAAGUCGAGCGAGCGGCGGACGGGUGAGUAAUGUCUGGGAAACUGCCUGAUGGAGGGGGAUAACUACUGGAAACGGUAGCUAAUACCGCAUACCAUCGGAUGUGCCCAGAUGGGAUUAGCUAGUAGGUGGGGUAAAGGCUCACCUAGGCGACGAUCCCUAGCUGGUCUGCGAGGAUGACAAGCCACACUGGAACUGAUAGACGGUCCAGACUAAUACGGGAGGCAGCAGUGGUGAAUAUUGAACAAUGGGCGAAAGCCGGAUGCAGCAAUGCCGCGUGUGUGAAGAAGGCCUUCGGGUUGUAAAGCACUUUCAGCGAGGAGGCGUUACUCGCAGAAGAAGCACCGGCUAACUCCGUGCCAGCCGCCGAGGUAAUAC